UUGCCCGUCGAUCCGGGGCCAGUUCAGCGACUGCAGUUUUGAGGAGUGCACGCAAGAGCAGUGUCAGCGUCGUGGUCUGGAAUGCUGCCCCAAGCCUUGUGGUGGCACAUGGUGUGUCGAAGGUGUACCGAGUCCUGUAAUGCUGUUGGCACAAUACACAGAAAGUCACCACUGUCCCCAAGUUCAACCUCCACGGCCCGGUGAAUGUGAAGCAAAGCCCAACAACGUCACUUGCGAGGACCUAAAUUGCCACGAUCGCGGUGCCAUCUGCUGCAAGCUCGCUUGCGGAGAGCCACUGUGCGUCGUAGUAAAAUAAUAAAGCGCGGUAGCGAGCCCACGUGACACCAGCGCAGCUUCGCUUCUGUUUCUGUGUGGACACGUGGACACGCAAGAGAAAAUUUUAAUCGCUAUUGCAGCACAGAGGAAUGUCAUAGAUGAAAGAGUAAUAGAAGUGAAGACAAC
rnacentral:lncRNA from 1 species